rnacentral:rRNA from 1 species
UACAGAGGGUGCAAGCGUUAAUCGGAGUUACUGGGCGUAAAGGGCGCGUAGGCGGUCUGACAAGUGAGAUGUGAAAUCCCCGGGCUUAACCUGGGAACUGCAUCUUAAACUGUCAGGCUGGAGUACUGUAGAGGAUAGUGGAAUUUCCGGUGUAGCGGUGAAAUGCGUAGAGAUCGGAAGGAACAUCAGUGGCGAAGGCGACUGUCUGGACAGAUACUGACGCUGAGGCGCGAAAGCGUGGGGAGCAAACAGG